AACGAACGCUGGCGGCAUGCCUAACACAUGCAAGUCGAACGAGAUCUUCGGGUCUAGUGGCGCACGGGUGCGUAACGCGUGGGAAUCUGCCCUUUGGUUCGGAAUAACAGUUGGAAACGACUGCUAAUACCGGAUGAUGACGAAAUUCCAAAGAUUUAUCGCCAGAGGAUGAGCCCGCGUAGGAUUAGCUAGUUGGUGUGGUAAAGGCGCACCAGGGCGACGAUCCUUAGCUGGUCUGAGAGGAGGAUCAGCCACACUGGGACUGAGACACGGCCCAGACUCCUACGGGAGGCAGCGGUGGGGAAUAUUGGACAAUGGGCGAAAGCCUGAUCCAGCAAUGCCGCGUGAGUGAUGAAGGCCUUAGGGUUGUAAAGCUCUUUUACCCGGGAUGAUAAUGACAGUACCGGGAGAAUAGGCUCCGGCUAACUCCGUGCCAGCCGCCGCAGUAA
rnacentral:rRNA from 1 species